UGCUGUUAAAAAGGCAAAACUCCCGCCCGAGAAAUCUCAAACCACCUGUAACAUCAAGAUCAAAAUUAGUAAACAAACAUCAGCUGACCGCCACGCCUCGCCCACGCGGAUAACAUGCACACAAUAAGGAUGAAAUAGGAACAAAUGAUGUGAGCAUUAAGGAUGGCAGACUUAGAGGAGACCUGGACCGAGCAGAGUUUCUACAACAAGCCGCUGUCCGUGUGGCUGGGGCGGGAGGAUGGCCCGGAGCCCCUCACGCUUGACAUCUUCACCGCAGCCUCCAUUGGGUGUUGCCAGCAGAUGAAGAAUAUUAUUGCUGAAGACAAAGACUUCUGUAACCAUAAGAACAGCGGAGGAUGGACAGCGCUUAUGUACGCCGCCUACUAUGGUCACACCGAUGCCCUGAGGCUGCUGCUGGGUCAUAGCGCCUCCUUGCACCAGCGGAACCACCAGGGAUGCAAUGCCCUCAUGUUGGCGGCCGUGUGUGGAAGCGAGACAGCCGUGGAAAUGCUCAUAAAGGCUGGAAGUAUCUUGGAGACUCGAGACAACAGGGAGUGGACGGCCCUUUUCCAUGCUGUGAAUGCGGGCCAGCCAGGAGCCGUCCACAUCUUGCUACGACACAGAGCCAACGCUAACACUUGCGAGCGGCAGAGUGGCAUGACCCCGCUGAUGCACGCUGCUCGGCUGGGUGACGCUGGCAUAGUGGAAGUGCUGCUUCAGGCCGGGGCUUGUACGACCCUCACCAACCACCGCGGCCACACUGCUGCACGGGUGGCUCAGGACGCUGGGUUCCCGGCCAUUGCUGCCUCCAUCACACACUGGGCCGCACAAGGUCCCCUCGGCCCCAGCCUGCAGGACGGGCCGGCCGCCAUGGAGGCCAAGUUGGGCCACACAGUGAGCCCCAAAUGUAGGGGAGGAGGACCCCCAUGCCUGGACACUGCCAGCGUCCAGCCCACAGACCUCGAGACACUGCUGGACCAGGUGGGCUUAAGCUCCUACCUGGCUGUGUUCCGUAUGCAGGACGUGGAUUUACAGGUGUUUCUGACCCUCACCGACCAGGACCUGAAGGAGUGCGGGAUACAGAAGCUUGGUCCGCGCCGCAAGAUGACAUCCGCCAUCGCCCGCUGGCAUAGCAACGCCCCACUGAGGAGCACGCCCGAAGGUGCCUAUGCCGAUAAGCUGGAGGUGGAGAUGCAGGAGCUGGGCGUGAAGCUUACUCAUGCCCUGAAGGCCCUGGAGCAAGCCAAGGCCAUGGAGAGCCAGGAGAGAGACCUACGCAGCGUGGCCGAGGGGUGGGUGGUGGAGGCUCGGGGACGCCUUUACCAGUGUUACCAUCAGUCACGGGGCCUCUCGGAGCAGCUCAUAACCGUCCAGCAAUGCCUCUCGCUUCUCUCGGCCCAGGCAGGCUUGGUUCAGCUUCCUCCCGGCCAGUCGUCGCUUACGUCCACCGCCAUGGACACGCUAGCAAGGAUGGCAGGCCGGGUGGAGUCGCUUGUGGCACUGACGGACCCCAGCACACCAAGAGCCACAAACAACCUCACCGCCCCCAAUAAGGAGAAGGAGCGUCUCAAUAUGUAUCAUGUACCUGAGAUGGUGAGGCAAGAUGGACCUGGACCAGCUAAUGAGUGUUUUCCUGCAAGCCUCGGCCCGCACCAAGGAGUCCAUCGACCAGCUCAUUGCGGAGAAAACGUUGACAAGGAGAGCGUUGAAAGAUACACACACUUACUGCACCUCCUCAAUGAUGAAAUAAAGGCCAAGAUUAUAAGCGAGCUAAGAAACACCCUUACAGAAGCCUCCCACAAUGAGCUUUGGAGCCUCAGACAUGACCGUGGGGCUGAGGGGGGGGAGCCUGAGGGAGGGGAGACCAUUAUAGACACUCUUCCCUGCACCCAUGACCAAAAACAGCAGGGUCGCGUCUUACUGGGAGCACACUUGGAGGACAUCAUCAUUCGCCCACUGAAAGAAAAGUGGCAGAUGGGGAGCGAGUUGCCUGUGUGUGAGCCUCAGGAAGCUUGUGUUUCGCGUUAUGAGGCUCAAGCUCCCCAGUGUGACAUGGACGAUAUAGAGAGACAAAUAAGUGCACCCUCUCCCUGCUAUGCCGAGCCCCUCCCAGACCUGCUUCCAUGGACUGCCCAGCAUGCCACAACUCCGCACUUCCCCCCUCGCUCUUUCUCCACCCUCCUACCCUCCACAUUCCAACCCAUAGUAGCUCCACAACCAAUAUUCCACCCUGAAGCGCAGUCCCUCCCACGCGUUCUACAAGACUUGCGCUCCUUCCACCCUCAUCCCGUAUCCCUCAAGGAAGCAUUGCCGCCACCUCCUGCAAGCUUAUCGUUCCCUCCAUCGCACCUCUGCCCCCAUGCCCCACCUCUGCCAAGCUUGCCCGGCCCACCACAGUUCUUGUCUGACUUCGCCGCUUCAUCCCAGUUCAUCUCAAGCACCUCACCUCCUUCCCUUGACCUAUUUUUCUCACUCCAGUCCUUCCCAGAGCCUCCUCCUCCUCCUCCUCCUCCUCGUUCAUUCUCUCAGCCCUUGUCUCCCUUUUCGCCAGAGUUUUCACCUUCUGUAAGCUAUUCCUCACAGGUUGGAUGUCCUCCCCCAGGUUUUACCACACCCCUAUCUCUCCCCUUCCCGCACUCCCCUCCUCAAUGCCUGCCAUCCCCCCAGCCCUACCCACAAGCCCUCUCCCCUCCCCCAGGCUUUCACCCACCUCAGUUCCCCCCACAAGCCUUACUUCCUCCCCCAGCCCUUCCUUCACCCCAAAUCUUACCUCUUCCCCCUCCUCCCCCAGGGCUCUUGCCACCCCAGUAUCUCACCCGACCAGCCAUACUCCCUACCACAGGCCUGUCCCAUCCCCUGCCUUUCCUUCCCUCUGUCCAGGCUUAUGAUAAAGUCUGGGGUCAUUUUGAAGGGGUGCCUCUGAUCUUGGCUCCUGCUCCUCCUCCUCCUCCUCCUCCUCCUCCAUCCUUGCAGCCUGUACUAUUGACCUCCAAGGAUAAGAUCCGAACUGAGGUCAAGGAAGGUCAUCUAGCUACUGGAGGGAGAGGAAAAGUGGAUGAAGGGAGAGUAAAAGUGGAUGAAGGGAGAACGAAAGUGGAUGAAGGGAGAGAAAAAGUGGAUGGAGGGAGAGGAAAAGUGGAUGAAGGGAGAGGAAGAGUGGAUGAAGGGAGAGUGAAAGCAGAUGUAGGGAGAACAAAAGUGGAUGAAGGGAGAGUAAAAGUGGAUGAAGGGAGAGUAAAAGUGGAUGGAGGGAGAGGAAAAGUGGAUGAAGGGAGAGUGAAAGUGGAUGAAGGGAGAGGAAAAGUGGAUGAAGGGAGAGUGAAAGUGGAUGAAGGGAGAGUGAAAGUGGAUGAAGGGAGAACAAAAGUGGAUGUAGGGAGAGGAAAAGUGGAUGGAGGGAGAGGAAAAGUGGAUGAAGGGAGAGGAAGAGUGGAUGAAGGGAGAGGAAAAGUGGAUGAAGGGAGAGCAAAAGUGGAUGAAGGGAGAGUAAAAGUGGAUGGAGGGAGAGGAAAAGUGGAUGAAGGGAGAACAAGAGUGGAUGAAGGGAGAACAAAAGUGGAUGAAGGGAGAGGAAAAGUGGAUGAAGGGAGAGAAAAAGUGGAUGAAGGGAGAGGAAGAGUGGAUGAAGGGAGAGCAAAAGUGGAUGAAGGGAGAGGAAAAGUGGAUGAAGGGAGAGGAAAAGUGGACGAAGGGAGAGCAAAAGUGGAUGAAGGGAGAGUAAAAGUGGAUGGAGGGAGAGGAAAAGUGGAUGAAGGGAGAACAAGAGUGGAUGAAGGGAGAACAAAAGUGGAUGAAGGGAGAGGAAAAGUGGAUGAAGGGAGAGAAAAAGUGGAUGAAGGGAGAGGAAAAGUGGAUGAAGGGAGAGGAAAAGUGGAUGAAGGGAGAACAAAAGUGGAUGAAGGGAGAACAAGAGUGGAUGAAGGGAGAGGAAGAGGGAAUGGAGCAAGAGCAAAAGUGGAUACAGGUACAAACAAAGUGGAUAAAGGAAAAAAAAAACUCGACAAAGGAAAACCAAGAAUGAACUCUAAGGAUGACCCAGUGUCCAGAAGCAAGUGUUCACGCGCCCACAAUGCUCAGAGGGCAUGUAAAGUCAACACCAAGGAAGACUACAUACCCUUCGUCUCUCGUGCUGAAAGACUUGCAGUUGAGAAGCAUUCAGAUGUCCCAUGGAGUUCAGAAGCUUGGGUCACCUCUGAAGGGAAAGCAGAAGGGGCUACCAGGAUAGAUGCAAUACCAGAAAGGGAUUUUGCAAGCACCCACAGCCCUCCAGACAGCUUGAACACGUCGCAGUGGACCAUCGAAAGCCUGGAUGAAACUUUCGAGGAUUAUGUGUCAGAGGAUGCAAUGAUACCAGUUGGCGCGCUUCCCUCAGUGGACCUACCCAUGCCUUACGUGUCUCCUUAUGAUCACGUAGAGGAGGCGGUGCUCUCGUAUGCAAAGAAUCCAGCCCAUUUUUACCUGGUACUUGGGCGAGAGGGCACGGACACAGUGCAAAAACUGUCGGAGGAUCUGGAGGAGAUGUACGGCGAUGACGAUGAGUCUCUGAAGGUGUGGGAGCUGCCGAUCGGGUCCUGCUGGGCGGUUCGCUGGACUGACGGCCGCUGGUACAGAGGAAAGGUCAUGGCCAACAUUGCCCCCAAGAGAAAGAAGAGCGGCUGGUGGGUGAGGGUGCUGCUGGUGGACACGGGUGAGGACGGGGAGGUGCCCACGCAGAACAUACGGGUGCUGGAUGGCAUCUUCGCCCUGCUGCCGUGUCAGGCCCUCCCGUGUCACCUGGUGGAGGUGUUCCCGGUGCAGCAGUGGGAGCUUGAGCCUUGGCCGAGCAGCACCACCCAGGCCUUCGUGGGGCUGUGUGGGGGCUUCAGGUCUCCCCUCACAGCGCACAUCCACGCUCGCUGCCUGGACGGCACUUUCGGAGUUAUCCUGGAGCGCAGUGACGGUGAGUUGGUCAACUUCCUCAUGGUGCGUCAAGGCCUGGCUACCUCACAGCUGCUGGAGGAGUUAGUGGAGAGUGAAAACAUAGAUGAAGAUAUGAUUUCUAGGGUGUUAGGCACCCUUGAGGAGGAGGCAUCUGAAAGCCGACACGAUGAACUGAUUCCUAGUGAGUGGGACCCCAUGUCGGAGGCGUACAGGAGCAGCAGCAACAUGGUAUAUCACGAUGAUGAGUGCGCUGAGACCGUUCUGCUGGGCUGGAGGAACACGGAUGAGGAACGACAGUGCAAGUACCACCGGGCCGGCCUCUGGUGCCCCCGGGGAAAGGCCUGCCCAUGGGAACACAUGUCAGUAAGGAGAGAUGUCACUGUUGAGAAGGAGAAGGUCUUGGAGAGGGGGUUCCUGAGCUGCGCCUUGCCCGCCAAAGACUCCCUCGUGGCUGUUACUGUGAUGUCUGUUACCUCCCCGUCCCAUUUCUACGUCCACUUGCAUUACGGAACCAAGGACCUUAAGUGUUUAGUACCCGGGAAUCAAGGGGACGCUGAACUGGAAGUGUUACUGGUGGGCAUGCAGAAACACUACAGCAUGGGCCGAAACCGUCGCCGUAGGAACCCAGCUCUGGGCGCCCCGGGAGAGCUCAUGGUGCUUCUGGAGGGCGUGCCGGAGAAGCCAGACUGCUCCCGGGUGCUGGUACUGGAGGUGGAUGACUGCAGGGACGACGGAUGCAGGGUGAAGGUUUUCUUCCUUGACCUUGGCUACGAAGAAUGGGUAUCAGACGAGAGCCUCCUUCCCAUGCCUUCACAGUUCGCUUUCUUGGCCCCACAGGCCGUGGAGUGCUGGCUCGCUUGGGUAGAUCCACCGGGAGACGGCUGGAGUCCCGAGGCUGUCGAGAUAUUUAAGGAGAUGGUGAUGGGCCGCCAGCUCUUCGCCACUGUUGUUGACGUUGACAGCGAUCACCAGCGAGUGGGUGUGUUGCUUCACGAGAUCGACACUUACCCCGACACUUUCAUGAACGGGCACUUCCUGGCGGCCGUUCUGAAGCUGGAAGAUGACGAGCCUUUUGUCAUCGUCAUAGGAGAGGAGGAAGAUGUUGAAGAGAGAAAAUGGAUUCGUGGAGUUGGUUCCAAGUGAUUCCUGUUCUGUGGGGCGUCCCGUCAUGGAAGUCUUUAAAGGGGGCUACUUCUGGGCACUGUAGGGUCUAGCCAAGGUUCUUGCAUACACACUUGAUGCACAGCAGACUGAGUUAGGGUAAAAGGCUUCCAUCCUCUCCAGCCAUUAAACCCAGUAAGUCAGGAUUCAGUUCACCUUACAUGGUUUUGGUUUUAUGUGAUACCCAGUGGUGUUUAUGUUUCAAGUUUAUAUUGAGGAAAAAACAAGGAAUAUAUCGUCACCCUAAUAAAAUAAUCGCCUAAGUCAUUUUUCAGUGAUUUCCAGGUUUUUGUCUACAUCAAUUUUUCAACAUGACGCUCAUUUUUGUAGAGUUGCCUCCGUCAUUCAGGGUUUGAGUGUUCUAGAAUUCGCCUUUUCAUUUCUGCCUAAAUCUUAAGCCAAAUGAGAUAAUGACUGUUCUGAUUUCCUGUAAAGUAGAAAAUAGUGACUUACGCGGUUUGUUUACGAAGGUGACGAUAUACUUCAGUCAUCCCUCAAAUAGUACGGUUUUCAAUAGUUCGGUUUCAGUUUUUCGUGGAUUUUCAUGAAGAUUUUUUUAGAAUGUUUGAAUUUCUCGAUGAGCAGGAAAUUUAAAAAUCCUAAAAAGAUCCAUGACAAUCCGUAUAAAACCAAAACUGAACUAGUAUUGGAAGCCGUACUAUUUGAGGGACGACUGUAUUUGAGUAUAUUCCAUUAAGUUUGUGGAAACGUCACACAAGGCUUGAGCCAUCACGGUUAUGUAGUUAGACCAGCCACACACACAUGCUCAGGGGGUUGAUGGAGUGCCUCACCUUGCGCCAGUGUUUAUAUAGUUCCUCCGGGCUUUCUGAAUUAUUGAAAAACUCUUGCAUUGUUUUUUUCAGUUUUAAUUGUAUAACUUCCAUAUUUGGUGGUCAAAUAUUUUAAUUCUGGCAACGGAAUCUAUAGUUUUUUAAUUCUUUGUUUAAAUCCUGCAGAAAUGUGUUUAUGCAGUCUUAAUUUUGUAGUUUUAUCAUUUGGUGGGUCAGAAAUGAUUUUUUUGAUAACGGAAUCUAUUUUUUAUUUUAUUUUAACAUAUGUGGAGGAGAGCAUAGGGAUGAAGUUGACUCAUACAAGGUUGCGGCCCACUGCAUGCGGUUUGCUGGGAGGGUUGAGGGUAGCGGGUUGCCUAGCAGGUCAGCGGCAAGAACAAACACAUGUGAUCUGAUACGAGUGGGUAAGCUUGGAGGGAACCUGUUACCCGCGUCCGGUAUGGCCACUCGUAUUAGAUAACGUGUUUGUUCUUGCCGCUGACCCACUAGGCAACCCGCUACCCUCUACCCUCCCAGCAAACCGCAUGCAGUGUGGCCGCACCCUUACAGUGGAAAUGGUGAGUGUGUUGUUGGAACAUGUGCCGGGCAUCAAAGGACAGUGUUCAUUGAGUCUGAAUCUCCCUGCACAGGUUUUGUUCACUCGGCUGUGUUGUUGCAUGUGCUUAGUGCCUCAGGGCCGCUUUCACAAUCACCGUUUGUUUUGAUCGUUACCAAUGGCGGCGAUUGACGCUAUAGUUUUCCACGUGAAACUGGCCUUUGGGGUAGUGGCGGCUGCUGCAGAGGAAGCGAGAGGUGUUGAGUGGGUGUGGCAAGGUGCGGGGCUAGGCUAACCCCGCAGCCCCCACUACCCCAUCGGCCAGUUUCACAUGGAAAUACUAUAGCAGCGAUAACAGCCAUUGGUGACGAUCAAAACAAGCAAAACGACUGUGAAAGCGGCCAUUAGUCUGUAAGAAACCAGGUAAACUCUGUCAGCCGUCACAGUUUGAGAUGAAUUGAUGCAAGACAUGUAAUUUUUGCAUGCCAAGGCUGUGGCUGAGGUGUCGCUUGGCAAAUUAUGCACUCAAACUGUGAAUUAUGAAGUCAUGUGAAAUUAGUGACAAUCUCAUACUUCAUGUGAAAUUAAACAUGAAUAUAAAAGAUGAAAAGCAAAAACACAUUUCUGUACUCCACUCUGCGUUGUGUGAACUGGUGGGAAGGGACUUGAGGCUCACGGACAGGUGGGGAGUGAGUCUUACAUCAGAGUAUUUUUAUUAUUAUUAUUAUUAUUAUUUUUUACAGUAGAGGAGACAGUGCA